AAAAUCUUGGAAGAAAACUUGUUAGUUAAAAACUAAUGUCGAUGGUCAUAGGUUGUUAAUCAUUCAAGUUAGGAUAAUUAUGGAUGAUUUCAAGGGAUUAAGUAUGACGGUAUUUUAGUUCACAAUUACCAAAAGUAAUGAGAGGAUAUGUUCUAAUAUUAUCCCCCUUUUAUCUGUUAGGAAUCUAGUGCAUAGGUAUAAUACAGUACUGUAG
rnacentral:misc_RNA from 1 species